UACGUAGGGUCCGAGCGUUAAUCGGAAUUACUGGGCGUAAAGCGUGCGCAGGCGGUUUUGUAAGCCAGAUGUGAAAGCCCCGGGCUCAACCUGGGAACUGCAUUUGGGACUGCAAGGCUGGAGUACGGCAGAGGGAGGUGGAAUUCCACGUGUAGCAGCGAAAUGCGUAGAGAUGUGGAGGAACACCGAUGGCGAAGGCAGCCUCCUGGGCUAGUACUGACGCUCAUGCACGAAAGCGUGGGGAGCAAACAGG
rnacentral:rRNA from 1 species